rnacentral:rRNA from 1 species
AGUGAACGCUGGCGGUAGGCCUAACACAUGCAAGUCGAACGGCAGCACAGUAGGAGCUUGCUCUUACGGGUGGCGAGUGGCGGACGGGUGGGGAAUACAUCGGAAUCUACUUUUUCGUGGGGGAUAACGUAGGGAAACUUACGCUAAUACCGCAUACGACCUACGGGUGAAAGCAGGGGAUCUUCGGACCUUGCGCGAUUGAAUGAGCCGAUGUCGGAUUAGCUAGUUGGCGGGGUAAAGGCCCACCAAGGCGACGAUCCGUAGCUGGUCUGAGAGGAUGAUCAGCCACACUGGAACUGAGACACGGUCCAGACUCCUACGGGAGGCAGCAGUGGGGAAUAUUGGACAAAGGGCGCAAGCCUGAUCCAGCCAUACCGCGUGGGUGAAGAAGGCCUUCGGGUUGUAAAGCCCUUUUGUUGGGAAAGAAAAGCAGCAGGUUAAUACCCCGCUGUUCUGACGGUACCAAAAGAAUAAGCACCGGCUAACUUCGUG